AUGGUGGCCUACCAGGUGACUGGCAACCACUUCUCUGCCUUCAGGAUCCUCUGCUCCAGAGGUUAUAUAUGCCGCAAUUUUACAGUCUUCGGCUUUACUGACCAGAACCCAUAUUAACUGUGGAUCAAAGGGCAUGUGGCAGUGAUUCAAAUUAACUCUCCCAAUUCAAAGGUAAUACACUCAAUAAAGAGCUGCAUUCAGAGUUCACAGAUGUUAUGAAUGAAAUCUGGGCUAAUGAUCAAAUCAGAAGUGCCGUCCUUAUCUCAUCAAAGCCAAGCUGCUUUAUUGCAGGUGCUGAUAUCAACCUGUUAGCUGCUGCAAGACCCCUCAGGAAUUAACACAGACAUCACAAGAAGCACAGAGAACAUUUGAGAAAGGAAAAGUCCACAAAGCCUGUUGUGGCUGCCGUCCAUGGAUCCUGCCUGGGAGGAGGACUUGAGCUUGCCAUUUCCUGCCAAUACACAAUAGCAACAAAAGACAGAAAAGCAGUAUUUGGUGCCCCUAAAGUCUUGCUGGGGAUCUUGCCAGGAGCAGGAGGCACACAAAAUCUGCCCAAAAUUGUGGAUAUGCCUGUUGCUUUUGACAUGAUGCUGACCGGUAGAAACGUUCAUGCAGACAAAGCAAAGAGAAUGGGACUGGUUGACUAAUAGGUGGAACCCGGGGCCAGGACUAAAACCUCCAGAGGAACAGACAAUCGAAUACCUAGAAAUUGCAAUUACUUUCGCCAAAGGACUGGCUGAUAAAAUCUCUGCAAAGAGAGAUAAAGAAUUGGAGAUUGGUGGAAAAACUGACAGUGUACACCAUAACUAUUCAAUUUGUCAGGCAACACAUUUACAAAAAAGUGAAAGAAAAAGUGCGAAAGCAGACUAAAGGCCUUUAUCCUGCACCUCUGAAAAUAAUUGAUGUGGUCAAGACUGGAAUUGAGCAAGGGAGUGAUACUGGUUAUCUCUCUGAAUCUCAGAAAUUUGGAGAGCUUACAAUGACCAAAGAAUCAAAGGCCUUGAUGGGACUCUACAUGGUCAGGUCCUGUGCAAGAAUAAAUUUGGAGCUCCACAGAAGAAUAAAUUUGGAGCCGCUUGUUGCAGACUCAAGAAGGAAGCCAGACCAGAGAUUCCCGGGCAGAAGAGCACCAUCAGUCUUAUCGAAAAAAAAAAAAAACAAGUGUUCAAAGGAUUGAAUGAUAAGGUGAAGAAGAAACCUCUAACAUCAUCUGAAAGAGACUCCAUCUUCAACAACUUGACUGGCCAACUUGAUUACCAAGGUUUUGAAAAGGCCGACAUGGUGACUGAAGCUGUGUUUGAGGACCUUAGUCUUAAGCACAGAGUGCUAAAGGAAAGCGAAGCGGUGAUUCCAGGUGACUGUGUUUUUGCCAGUAACACAUCUGCUCUCCCAAUCAGUGAAAUUGCUGCUGUCAGUAAAAGACCUGAAAAGGUAAUUGGCAUGCACUACUUCUCUCCCCUAGACAAGACACAGCUGCUGGAGAUUAUCACAAAUCGAUAAAACUUCCAAAGGCACCAGUGCUUCAGCUGUAGCAGUCAGUCUCAAGCAGGACAAAGUCAUCAUUGUGGUUAAGAAUGGACCUGGCUUCUAUACCACCAGGUGUCUUGCACCCAUGAUGUCUGAAGUCAUCUGAAUCCUCCAGGAAGGAGUUGACCCGAAGAAGCUGGAUUCCCUGACCACAAGCUUUGGCUUUCCUGUGGAUGCCACCACAGUGGCGGAUGAAGUUGGUGUGGAUGUAGCACAACAUGUGGUGGAAGAUCUGGGCAAAGCCUUUGGGGAGCAGUUUGGAGGUGGAAACCCAGAACUGCUGACACAGAUGGUGUCCAAGGCUUCCUAGGUCGAAAGUCUGGGAAGGGCUUUUACAACUAUCUGGAGAGUGGAAGAGUAAGAAUUUGAAUUCUGACAUGGAUAGUAUUUUAGUGAGUCUGAAGAUGCCUCCUAAGUCUGAAGUCUCCUCAGAUGAAAACAUCCAGUUCCACCUGAUGACAAGAUAUGUGAAUGAGGCAGUCAUGUGCCUACAAGAGGGGAUGUUGGCCAGACAUGCAGAGGGAGACAUCAGACCCGUCUCUGGGCUCAGCUUCCUCCCUUGUCAUGGAGGGCCUUUCUGCUUUGUGGAUCUGUAUAGCACCCAGUAGAUAGUGGACCCGCUCAAGAAGUAUGACGCUGCCUGUGGAAAACAGUUCACCCCAUGCCAGCGGCUAGCUGACCAUGCUAACAGCCCUAUCAAGAAGUUCUCCCAGUGAGCAGGUCUCUGCCUCGCUCAGCCAGUGCACUAACCCCAGCUACCGGCUGUGCUGGUUCUCCAACAGAGUGGAGUCUAGAUUUAUCAAAGUAAUGAAAAGGAAGACAAACUCUGGCAUUGGGAUUUCUCCCUGAUUAAAGUGCCUUCAGCCAACACCAUCUCUCCCUCCUGGUGAAGUUUGUGAAUUAGAGUUUGCACUUCCUAUUGGAAGGUGGAAUCCACUAUGCUCACUGUAUAAGUCCCGAGGCCUAGAGUGGCAGCUACGAGCCAUCUAGAGCUUAGAGCCGUCUCUGCCUGUUCCUCCCAGGAGGCCAGGGUGGCCAAGGGUGGUGAGGGCAAUUCUGCACCCAGCCAAACACAUAACAAUAAAAACCAAACUCUGU